rnacentral:rRNA from 1 species
GACGAACGCUGGCGGCGUGCUUAACACAUGCAAGUCGAACGGAAAGGCCUCUUUCGGGGGGUACUCGAGUGGCGAACGGGUGAGCAACACGUGAGUAACCUGCCCUUGACUUUGGGAUAACUUCAGGAAACUGGGGCUAAUACCGGAUAGGAGCUCCUGCUGCAUGGUGGGGGUUGGAAAGUUUCGGCGGUUGGGGAUGGACUCGCGGCUUAUCAGCUUGUUGGUGGGGUAGUGGCUUACCAAGGCUUUGACGGGUAGCCGGCCUGAGAGGGUGACCGGCCACAUUGGGACUGAGAUACGGCCCAGACUCCUACGGGAGGCAGCAGUGGGGAAUAUUGCACAAUGGGUGGAAGCCUGAUGCAGCAACGCCGUGUGCGGGAUGACGGCCUUCGGGUUGUAAACCGCUUUCGCUCAUGACGAAGCUUUGUGUGACGGUAAUGGGUAAAGAAGCACCGGCUAACUACGUG